AUUCGUCCGGAAGAUGAUAUUGAAGGUAAUACCGACAUCUGGGUCGAUGGCAGACGCCUCCAGUUAUACCAUUAUGGACUCCCGAUGAAUGUUGUGCCUUAUGGGAUCGACACUAAAGGUACCAUGAGUAUUAUCAGCUUACGGGCAAGAUAUCUUACAGAUUACUUUAGUGCAUUCAAGAUUAGCGACAGAUGCUUAAUAGUGCAAGACUGGACCAAAUAUGUGAUGAGGGAGCACAGAGAAGUACUAAGGGGCAGCAAACAGAUGUGCUACUCACGAUUAGGAGACAGGUUCAUCUGCAUGCUCCGGCUUGAUCAAGGAGGAGAGCUAUACAUGUUUUAUGUUAUUUUACCUAAUAGAGAGAAGCAGGAGUGAUUAGCUAGCUAGAAAUGAGUUUGAGGAUGAGGAUGUGCUACACUAUUACUAUGAUGAUAAAAUAGCUAGUGUUGGUGGUAA